rnacentral:tRNA from 1 species
GCUGGCGUGGCGCAAUUGGUAGCGCACCUGUCUUGUAAACAGGCGGUUGUCGGUUCGAGUCCGACCGUCAGCUCGA